CACGUACUUCCUCCGUUCCAAAUUACUCGUCGCAGAAAUAGAUGUAUCUAAAACUAAAAUACAUCUAGAUACAUUCAUACCUGCGACAAGUAAUUCAGAAUGGAGGGAGUAUAAG
rnacentral:pre_miRNA from 1 species